AAAUUGNUUUUCCCCAAAGGCCCCCUUUUUUUUUUUUUUUUUUUUNCCCCAUUUCAGUUGGGCAUCCAGAGANCGCGGUGUUAAACCGGAGGAAGGUGGGGAUGACGUCAAGUCCUCAUGGCCCUUAUGUCCAGUGGCCUACACACGUGCUACAAUGGCCGGUACAAAGGGUAGCGAGACCGCAAGGUUGAGCGAAUCCCAAAAAGCUGGUCUCAGUUCGGAUUGGAGUCUGCAACUCGACUCCAUGAAGUUGGAAUCGCUAGUAAUCGCGGAUCAGCAUGCCGCGGUGAAUACGUUCCCGGGCCUU
rnacentral:rRNA from 1 species